AAAUUUCAAACAUUCCAACUGAAAAUCCUGCGAGUCUCCCUCCAUUCCGUCUCUACCUCCUUUCCUGAAGGUCAUUUUUUCAUAUCUUUAAUCUUUCUUCUUACAAUUUCUCGACUUGAGUUAAGUUGAUUUUUAUCAAUUCUUUCUUUGAGUUUCUCGUUACGAUUGUCUUGUUCAUUGAGGUUUUGUUUAAUAGCUUUCAAGGGUUCUCUUCUAAUUUGUUCAAUUGGUUUUUACACCCAAUAUCCAAUUGCUUUCUGAGUUGGUGGUUGGUGAAAGAAGCCUCAUUGUUCGAUGUUUUUGGCGUCAGAAUCAUACGCCCUUUUGUAGAAUAAAGAUACGAGGUUUUAGUAUUUUUAUCGUCUGUGAGUACUAUUAAGUAGUAAUAGAAUCAGAUGGGAAAUAACUGUGUGGGAUCGAGAUCUUCUUCCAAUUACGGACUCCUCCAAUCGAUUUCGACUUCUGUUUGGUGGUCUAGAACCUCAGACUGCAUCGUUUCUAACAAAGGAAUAACCAGUGGAUCCUCCUCUGUGCAUAACGAAUCAGAAUUCCAUUUUCCUGUUGUACAGAACAAGCCCCCGGCAACGGUGAAGAUGAUCAAUGGAGAUACUAAAUUGGCAGAGCCGCUAAGUCAUGAAGAGGAGAGUAAAUUAUCAAAACCCGAAAAGCGGGAGGAAAAUACUAACAAAACAGGGGAACCAAUGAGGAACAAGAAAGAGAGUACGAAACCUACACAGCCGGCAAGAUCAAAGCAGGAGGAUGAGCAGGAGGUUACUGAUAAGCAAUCCAGGCCGAGGAAUAAGCCUUUUCAUGUGAAGAGGAUGGCGAGUGCGGGGCUUCAGGCCGACUCGGUGUUGCAAACCAAGGCGGGCCAUUUGAAGGAGUACUACAACUUGGGGAAGGAGCUUGGACACGGGCAGUUUGGGAAGACUUUUCUUUGCGUGGAUAAGGUGACCGGGAAAGAGUACGCCUGCAAAUCCAUCGCUAAGAGGAAGUUGUUGACGAAGGAAGACGUGGAAGAUGUGAGGAGGGAGAUUCGAAUAAUGCACCAUUUGGCGGGGCUGCCUAAUAUAGUUUCCAUCCGAGGGGCUUAUGAGGAUGCUGUUGCAGUUCAUGUUGUGAUGGAGUUGUGCACAGGGGGUGAGCUAUUCGAUAGGAUCAUUCAGCAGGGGCAUUUUACGGAAAGAAAGGCAGCACAGCUCACUAGGACUAUAGUUGGUGUCGUAGAAGCCUGCCACUCUUUGGGUGUCAUGCAUUGUGAUCUUAAGCCUGAGAAUUUUCUUUUUGUCAACGAGCAGGAGGAUUCGCCUCUUAAGGCUAUAGAUUUUGGAUUAUCAGUAUUCUUCAAGCCAGGGGAGGUUUUCAGUGAUGUCGUUGGAAGUCCAUAUUACGUUGCCCCUGAAAUUUUGUGCAAGCAUUACGGUCCAGAAGCAGAUGUUUGGAGUGCUGGAGUGAUCCUUUACAUUCUUUUAAGUGGCGUGCCUCCAUUUUGGGCCGAGACGGAGAAAGAAAUAUUUGAAGAAGUUUUGCAUGGUGAUCUUAACUUCUCAUCAGAUCCCUGGCCUAAUGUCUCCGAGAGUGCUAAAGAUUUAGUUAGAAAGAUGCUCGUCAGAGACCCAAGAAAGAGGAUAACUGCGCAUGAAGUAUUGUGCCACCCUUGGAUUCAGGUUGAUGGGGUGGCUCCAGACAAGCCUCUUGAUUCUGCAGUCUUGAGUCGCUUAAAACAGUUUUCUGCAAUGAACAAGCUUAAGAAGAUGGCUCUUAGAGUUAUUGCACAGCACCUCUCUGAAGAAGAAAUUGCUGGGUUAAAAGAAAUGUUUAAGGUGAUAGACGCUGACAAUAGUGGUCAAAUUACUUUUGAAGAACUCAAACAGGGACUGGAAAGAUUUGGUGCCAAUCUGAAUGAAUCUGAAAUAUACGAUCUUAUGCACGCUGCAGAUGUUGAUAAUAGUGGCACAAUUGAUUAUGAUGAGUUCAUUGCUGCAACAUUGCAUCUAAACAAAAUCGAGAGGGAUCACCUAUUUGCAGCUUUUUCAUAUUUUGAUAAAGAUAGCAGCGGCUAUAUCACUCAAGAUGAGCUUCAACAGGCUUGUGAGGAGUUUGGCAUCGAGGAUUCCCACUUGGAAGAAAUGAUUCGAGAAGUAGAUCAGGAUAAUGUAAGUACUUUUUCUUCAUAAUUAGGUAGUGUUAAUAUGACUUGAAUAAUACAUCCUCUCAUCAAUAGCAAAUAUAGCAUAAAGAGUAGUACACAUAUAUAUAAGUGUGAAAAACUUGCAGGAGUGUGUGAUAAGAGUGUGAGUAAAUAUUGGAUCAGUGAAAUGUUCAUUAGCAUGUGCACAUGUGGCUUUUGAAUUUAUAACCUUAACCUCCAGUCGGGGGUAUGAAGUGUCAUUUAGGUAGAGUUUCUUGGCAUAGUUGAUGAAAAAAAAUAAUCAGAUAGAAGAAUUUCUAACCCCACAAACACCCUCUUAUCAUAAUUAGGAAGUGUCAUUGCCUUCUUGUUGAGGCCUGACCUUCCUUGUGAUAAGAAGUGGGAAUGAUUAAUGCGGCUUUAAUUCAGUUCUAUUUCGUGCUGAUUCUAAGAUUUGCUUUUAUAUUUAUGAUCUUUCAGGACGGAAGAAUAGAUUACGAUGAGUUUGUAGCCAUGAUG